GACGAACGCUGGCGGCGUGCUUAACACAUGCAAGUCGAACGGAAAGGCCCUGCUUUUGUGGGGUGCUCGAGUGGCGAACGGGUGAGUAACACGUGAGUAACCUGCCCUUGACUUUGGGAUAACUUCAGGAAACUGGGGCUAAUACCGGAUAGGAGCUCCUGCUGCAUGGUGGGGGUUGGAAAGUUUCGGCGGUUGGGGAUGGACUCGCGGCUUAUCAGCUUGUUGGUGGGGUAGUGGCUUACCAAGGCUUUGACGGGUAGCCGGCCUGAGAGGGUGACCGGCCGCAUUGGGACUGAUGUACGCCGCAGACGCCGGGGGGAGGAAGGGGGGGGAAAUUGUGAGCAGGGGCGGGAGGCUGUGGACGGAAGCCCCGGGGGCGGAAUGGGGCCUUAGGGUGGAAAACCCGCUUUCGCUGGUAAGGAGGGGGGAGGGAGGGUAAGGAAUAAAAAAGCCCCGGCUAACUACGUG
rnacentral:rRNA from 1 species